GCUUGCAGUCGUGCUUCCUGCCUUCGACCAGACUAUAUCAUCCUGAGUAUUUACACUGCAAGAGUUUCCUCGGCGAAGCAAGCUAGAAUUUAUUUGCACAAUCUUACUAUUUGCCUCUAAGUAACUAGAACAUAGUGGUCAGAACAGGCCGGUUAUUGGCAAGCGUGGCGGAUAGUCCGUAAGUAGCGUACUUAUGAAGGGAUGCAGCAGUUCGCUAUUUCUACCUUCAAAUGCUACAUCUGUGGAAGAGGAUAAUGUUUCUAGCGCGCUCACGGACGUAUUCAGCCAUGGACUUGGGAGGAAGACUAACUGCACUGUUCGAAGUCUGAUGUCUUCAUGGAUAUCUUCUUAUCCUGAGCUGAGUGAAGGCCAGUCUGCCAAUUCAACUUCAACAUUUAAGGUGUGCUGAUCUUCAGAAGCUUGCGGAACUGAGUGCUGCUGAACAUUUGCAUGGCCAUGAGCAAUGGUGAAGCUUGCUAUUGCACUCUCAGCAUGUGCUAGUAUUAUGCUGACUACUGCACUAUGUUACUCUCUUACAUUACUACAUGUAUGUAAACGUGCGUGCAACCGCCCACGUAUGCAUUCGUUUCGUAUAAUAAUUUGUUAUUCCUCUUGACUUUACGUGUAAAUUGGUGGACGUUUGCAUGGCUGUUGGAGUUGCGUGUGUAUUGUGUCUCUACUCUUUUCUUGGUGUUUUCUUGGCGUUGUAUAAGUUUGUGUGUGUGUGCGCGCGCACAAUAAUUUAAAACAAAUAAUUAAUCCUUGGCUCUCCAUUAUUCUCUUUCAAUUCUUGGUCUUUUUUCUAGGUAUUUUCUUGGCGUUGUGUGGGUGUGUGUAUGUGUGUGUGUGCGUGCACAAUACUUUGGCAACACUACAUGAUUGAGAUAUUGUAAUUUGCAGCGUCUGCGAAGAGACCACUUGAUUUGAGGAUGGUGUUUGUAGGGUUUUUCAUGUAAUAAAGUGGCGCAGUGGCGCCUCAAUACUUAUUUUUUAUCUUGAGAAGUGAAUGAUGUAAAGGAUUAAAGGGAGAGGCUGUUUUCUG